AAAAAAUUUCUAGUGGGAGUCCCUAAUCUUUUGACUUUCCUGGGCCAUAUUGAAAGAAGUAGAAUUGUCUUGGGCCACACAUAAAAUACACUAACAAUAGCCAAUAAGCU